rfam:Vibrio sp. J237 Contig_12, whole genome shotgun sequence.
CUUCUUCGAUCUGCUGCGGGCAAAUGAAGUGGAUAUGCGAGUCGAUCCCGCCAGCUGUGAGGAUCAUGCCUUCACCGGCGAUAACUUCGGUGCCUGCGCCAACUGCGAUGGUGACAUCGGGCUGGAUGUCGGCGUUGCCGCCUUUACCGAUUGCCGCAAUGCGCCCGUCCUUGAGGCCCACGUCGGCUUUGACGAUGCCCCAGUGAUCGAUGAUCAGCGCGUUGGUGAUCAGCGUAUCGACCACAUCUUUGGCGCACAACUGGCCCUGGCCCAUGCCGUCACGGAUG